GCUUUGAAGGGCUAACCACACUUAAAUGAUCUAAAUGUAAAGAAAUUGUUCUGUGUAUGUUCCACUAAAUUAUUCCACUGAAUGCCGCUGUGGGUUGUGCCUCUGUGUCUGGGUGUGUGUUUGGGAUCGGGGGCUCUCUGUGAAGACGGGGUCCUGGCCGGUUGAGAGGGAGGAUAUUUGAAAUGCUCCCUCCUCAUGUUGGGAUGAACGUUUAAUACUAUUGAAGGAGUUUUGACCAUUAUGAAGAUGGAGAAAGAGGACCUUUUUAUGGACUCAAGUCGUGAAAUGCAUUGUGAUUCACAAGUACCCUGCAAGUGAUGAAUAAAUAACUUAAAACGA